CUCUCCCAGAAAAAGAUUUUAGCUACGGCUAUACCUGCGAAUGCCUUCCUAAUUCCUGGCAAGAAAACAGGUACUCCAUGGCUCCCUCGGAGAAGCGAAGGCCAGGUAUAGUGUAGAGUUCCUGCCUUUAAAAAAAAAAAAAAAGAGCCCGGAGUGCUCCCUAAUCCGGGUGCACGCCUUUAAUCCCAGAACUCAGAAGGCAGAGGCAGGUGGACCUAUGUGAGUUUGAGGCCAGCCUAGUCUACAGAGUGGAUUCCAGGACACUCUGGAAUCCAGGACAGUCAGGGCUACACAAAGAAAUUCUGUCUCAACACCCCUCCCCUCAUAUAUAAAAUCUUUUGUUACCCAACCUCGGUGUCUGUCACAGGUGACUUACUCUGACUUUCAGCACAGAAAUCCCACUUUGUAGCAAGACAUCGAAGGCCCUAGCCCAUCAGGUCCCUGCCUGCAGCUCUAGUCUCGGCUUUGUCAGUUUCGCACAGCUGUGGUCUUCGGUCACCGGGAUGCUAUGCGCCUUUGCCCUUUGAUGUCUUGGUCCUGCAGACGGCUUUCCUCUGCUCACAGUUGGCAGGCACUCAACACCUUCCCACACCGCCUGUGGUUGCCUCCUUCAUGCCAAGUUAUGAAAUCAAGGAGGCUCCGCUUUUGGUCCUUGUGGGAUACACUGAGACUCUCAUCUCUGAACUUCGAGGGAUUCCAGGUAGUUACCUAA
rnacentral:lncRNA from 1 species